GGAUAACCUACCCUUUAGGACUGGGAUAACCCUGGGAAACUGGGGCUAAUACCGGAUAGGCAAUUUUUCCUGGAAUGGUUUUUUGUUUAAAUGUUUUUUCGCCUAAGGAUGGGUCUGCGGCCGAUUAGGUAGUUGGUUAGGUAAUGGCUUACCAAGCCGUUGAUCGGUACGGGUUGUGAGAGCAAGAGCCCGGAGAUGGAACCUGAGACAAGGUUCCAGGCCCUACGGGGUGCAGCAGGCGCGAAACCUCCGCAAUGUGAGAAAUCGCGACGGGGGGAUCCCAAGUGCCAUUCUUAACGGGAUGGCUUUUCAUUAGUGUAAAGAGCUUUUGGAAUAAGAGCUGGGCAAGACCGGUGCCAGCCGCCGCGGUAACACCGGCAGCUCUAGUGGUAACAAUUUUUAUUGGGCCUAAAGCGUCCGUAGCCGGUUUAAUAAGUCUCUGGUGAAAUCCUGUAGCUUAACUGUGGGAAUUGCUGGAGAUACUAUUAGACUUGAGACCGGGAGAGGUUAGAGGUACUCCCAGGGUAGAGGUGAAAUUCUGUAAUCCUGGGAGGACCGCCUGUUGCGAAGGCGUCUAACUGGAACGGUUCUGACGGUGAGGGACGAAAGUUAGGGGCGCGAACCGGAUUAGAUACCCGGGUAGUCCUAACUGUAAACGAUGCGGACUUGGUGUUGGGGUGGCUUUGAGCUGCUCCAGUGCCGAAGGGAAGCUGUUAAGUCCGCCGCCUGGGAAGUACGGUCGCAAGACUGAAACUUAA
rnacentral:rRNA from 1 species